GUCUCCUUAGCUCAAUUGGGAGAGCGCCAGACUGAAGUCCAAUUCGGUCACUAUUAAAACAUCUGGAGGUAUCGUGUUCGAUCCACGAAGGGGACA